CCUCCUCUUUACUCGCAUCAAAACCCAAAAUCAGAGCUAAAAAAAUUCAAGUUUCAAUUCCUUGAAAUUAUAUUUUACUCUUUUGAUUGGAAAAAAAAGAGGGUGUUUUAGAAAUGGAUGCCGAUUCAUGGGCUGUUUGUCUUUCUUCAGCUUCUAAGAGAUAUCAAUCAGCUAUUCAAUCACGAUCUAAUGUGUUUAUGGGGUUUGAAUAAAUAGAUGGAGAAGAUGAUAUAAGAGAGGAAUUUUAAUGCCUUUUUGUUCAGAGUUUCGAUAUUGUUGGCUUUUGCUGUCACAUUGAUGAUGAACAUCCAAUGGAGGCUACGAACGGGGUAUCUCCGGUCUGCGAAAUGAGGGUGGGGCUGGAUAUGGUUGCGCAUAUAGCACUACAACAUGGCAAUAUAUUUAAGAUAUCCUUUUUUAUUGAGUUGUCAUUAAUG